GAUGAACGCUGGCGGCGUGCCUAAUACAUGCAAGUCGAGCGAACGGACGAGAAGCUUGCUUCUCUGCUGUUAGCGGCGGACGGGUGGGUAACACGUGGAUAACCUACCUAUAAGACUGGGAUAACUUCGGGAAACCGGAGCUAAUACCGGAUAAUAUUUUGAACCGCAUGGUUCAAAAGUGAAAGACGGUCUUGCUGUCACUUAUAGAUGGAUCCGCGCUGCAUUAGCUAGUUGGUAAGGUAACGGCUUACCAAGGCAACGAUGCAUAGCCGACCUGAGAGGGUGAUCGGCCACACUGGAACUGAGACACGGUCCAGACUCCUACGGGAGGCAGCAGUAGGGAAUCUUCCGCAAUGGGCGAAAGCCUGACGGAGCAACGCCGCGUGAGUGAUGAAGGUCUUCGGAUCGUAAAACUCUGUUAUUAGGGAAGAACAUAUGUGUAAGUAACUGUGCACAUCUUGACGGUACCUAAUCAGAAAGCCACGGCUAACUACGUG
rnacentral:rRNA from 1 species